UACCUACGGGGCGCAGCAGUAGGGAAUCUUCCACAAUGGACGAAAGUCUGAUGGAGCAACGCCGCGUGAGUGAAGAAGGGUUUCGGCUCGUAAAGAUCUGUUGGUAGUGAAGAAAGAUAGAGGUAGUAACUGGCCUUUAUUUGACGGUAAUUACUUAGAAAGUCACGGCUAACCACGUGCCAGCAGCCGCGGUAAUACGUAGGUGGCAAGCGUUGUCCGGAUUUAUUGGGCGUAAAGUGAGGGCAGGCGGGUCUA
rnacentral:rRNA from 1 species